rnacentral:snRNA from 1 species
AAAUGAGAUGUCAUUUGUCAUCUCACUCAUCAGCAGGGUUGAUUUGGCUGAUCUGGCUAUCUAGGCAUGUGUCACCAUGUCACCUUCCUCCCUUACCACUUUAUCUGCCUUCCCUCCUAAAACUUGGCCCAUGGUUGAAGAGGACAACAUUUGUAGAGAGAGGAAGACUUUUCUUUGGUCAUAUAUGUAAGAGCAACUGCCCUCCCUCACUGGAACCUCUGAACAAGCUUUCAAGGUCGAAGAAAAGUGAGACCUUAGAAAGCUGGAAACUAGGCCUU